rnacentral:rRNA from 1 species
GUGCCAGCAGCCGCGGUAAUACAGAGGGUGCAAGCGUUAAUCGGAUUUACUGGGCGUAAAGCGCGCGUAGGUGGCCAAUUAAGUCAAAUGUGAAAUCCCCGAGCUUAACUUGGGAAUUGCAUUCGAUACUGGUUGGCUAGAGUAUGGGAGAGGAUGGUAGAAUUCCAGGUGUAGCGGUGAAAUGCGUAGAGAUCUGGAGGAAUACCGAUGGCGAAGGCAGCCAUCUGGCCUAAUACUGACACUGAGGUGCGAAAGCAUGGGGAGCAAACAGGAUUAGAUACCCUGGUAGUCCAUGCCGUAAACGAUGUCUACUAGCCGUUGGGGCCUUUGAGGCUUUAGUGGCGCAGCUAACGCGAUAAGUAGACCGCCUGGGGAGUACGGUCGCAAGACUAAAACUCAAGUGAAUUGACGGGGGCCCGCACAAGCGGU